rnacentral:lncRNA from 1 species
UUGCUAGUUUUUUUUUAAUAUUAAAACUAGAUUUGAGAAAAAAAAAAAAAAAAAACAACUUACCCAAACAACGUCAUGUGAAAAAGUUGGAGGCCGUGAGCCCGUGACCGUCUUCAUCCGGCUUUCUAUUGUUUCUUUUGUAAAUGGAUCUGAAAAAAUAUAUUUUUUUUUUCACUUGGUUUACAUAAAAGAUUUAUAUAAAAACUAAAAACUACUCCAUUUCUCAUUCACUAUACUUAUAAUCAGAACCCAUUGUUUUAUUAAUUUAAUAGCACAAAUCAUUAGAUAUUUCUAUUUGUACAGUGAUUUUCAUCCGAUUUUCCCCGAUCCUAGAGAAAUUACGAGCCUAAAACCUGAACCUCCUAAUUAUUAGGCAAUAUAAAUGUAAAUUUAGUCAAUGUAAAAUUUAUACAUUACGAUUGUAAUGCUAUAUGUAUGAGUCCCUAAUAAGAGAGCAAUCCAAGAGAGUUUUAUCGAUUCUAACAUCAAACGACAAAACACAUUGAAAACAGACAUUUAUUUUGUCCGUAAAAGAGUUGCCUUCGGUGACGUCAAGGUUCUUCAUGUACCGUCGGAGCAUCAGUUUGCCGACAUCUUCACUAAGGGAUUUGCCACUUUUUACUUAUUUUCGGUCCAGUCUUAGCAUUCGUCCACUCGACGUUAAGCCUGCAGGAAGUAUUAGGCAAUGUAAAUGUAAAUUCAAUCAUUGUAAAUUUCACGUUACGAUUGUAAUGCUAUAUAUAUGAGUCCCUAAUAAGAGAG